rnacentral:rRNA from 1 species
AGCGAACGCUGGCGGCAGGCCUAACACAUGCAAGUCGAACGAAGUCUUCGGACUUAGUGGCGGACGGGUGAGUAACACGUGGGAACGUACCUUUUGGUUCGGAACAACUCAGGGAAACUUGAGCUAAUACCGGAUAAGCCCUUCGGGGGAAAGAUUUAUCGCCAUUAGAGCGGCCCGCGUUAGAUUAGCUAGUUGGUGAGGUAAAGGCUCACCAAGGCUACGAUCUAUAGCUGGUCUGAGAGGAUGAUUAGACACACUGGGACUGAGACACGGCCCAGACUCCUACGGGAGGCAGGAGUGGGGAAUCUUGCGCAAUGGGCUAAAGCCUGACGCAGCCAUGCCGCGUGAAUGAUGAAGGUCUUAGGAAUGUAAAAUUCUUUUACCAGGGACGAUAAUGACGGUACCUGGAGAAAAAGCCCCGGCUAACUUCGUGCCAGCCGCCGCCGUAA